GUCCCUGUGGCGCAAUGGAUAGCGCGUUUGACUGCUAAUUCAAAAGUCGUGGGCAUUGUAUGCCACCUGGGAUG